UUCCAGCUCCAGUAGCGUAUAUUAAAGUUGUUGCAGUUAAAAAGCUCGUAGUUGGAUUUCUGGCUUUAUAGAACUGACCCGCCACGUUAGUGUGUGAGUGUCGGCUUCUAUAUGCCAUCCUUCCACAGAACGUUUCUACUCUCGAUUGAGCCGGAUUCGCAAUGUGGAACUUUUACUUUGAAAAAAUUAGAGUGUUCAAAGCAGGCUUACGCUAUGAAUACAUUAGCAUGGAAUAAUAAUCUAGGACUUUGGUUCUAUUUUGUUGGUUUCUAGAACUGGAGUAAUGAUUGAUAGGGAUAGUUGGGGGUGCUAGUAUUCAGCGGCCAGAGGUGAAAUUCUUGGAUUCGCUGAAGACUAACUUAUGCGAAAGCAUUCACCAAGGAUGUCUUCAUUA
rnacentral:rRNA from 1 species